rnacentral:rRNA from 1 species
UACGUAGGUGGCGAGCGUUGUUCGGAUUUACUGGGCGUAAAGAGCGCGCAGGCGGUCGUACAAGUCGCGUGUGAAAGCCCCCGGCUCAACUGGGGAGGGUCACGCGAUACUGUUCGACUCGAAGGCAGGAGAGGGUAGUGGAAUUCCCGGUGUAGUGGUGAAAUGCGUAGAUAUCGGAAAGAACACCUGUGGCGAAAGCGGCUCACUGGACCACAACUGACGCUGAGGCGCGAAAGCUAGGGGAGCAAACAGG